AUUGAACGCUGGCGGCAGGCCUAACACAUGCAAGUCGAGCGGAUGAAGGGAGCUUGCUCCUGGAUUCAGCGGCGGACGGUUGAGUAAUGCCUAGGAAUCUGCCUGGUCGUGGGGGAUAACGUCCGGAAACGGGCGCUAAUACCGCAUACGUCCUGAGGUAGAAAGUGGGUGAUCUUCGGACCUCACGCUAUCAUAUGAGCCUAGGUCGGAUUAGCUAGUUGGUGGGGUAAAGGCCUACCAAGGCGGCGAUCCGUAACUGGUCUGAGAGGAUGGUCAGUCACACUGGAACUGAGAAACGGUACAGACUCCGACGGGAGGCAGCAGUGGGGAAUAUUGGACAAUGGGCGAAAGCCUGAUCCAGCCAUGCCGCGUGUGUGAAGAAGGUCUUAGGAUUGUAAAGCACUUUAAGUUGGGAGGAAGGGAAGUAAGUUAAUACCUUGCUGUUUUGACGUUACCAACAGAAUAAGCACCGGCUAACUUCGUG
rnacentral:rRNA from 1 species